UUGUUGGCGGGGUAACGGCCCACCAAGUCUACGAUGGAUAGGGGUUCUGAGAGGAAGGUCCCCCACAUUGGAACUGAGACACGGUCCAAACUCCUACGGGAGGCAGCAGUGAGGAAUAUUGGUCAAUGGACGCGAGUCUGAACCAGCCAAGUAGCGUGAAGGAUGACUGCCCUAUGGGUUGUAAACUUCUUUUAUACGGGAAUAAAGUUGGGCACGUGUGCCUUUUUGUAUGUACCGUAUGAAUAAGGAUCGGCUAACUCCGUGCCAGCAGCCGCGGUAAUACGGAGGAUCCGAGCGUUAUCCGGAUUUAUUGGGUUUAAAGGGAGCGUAGGCGGAUGCUUAAGUCAGUUGUGAAAGUUUGCGGCUCAACCGUAAAAUUGCAGUUGAUACUGGGUGUCUUGAGUACAGUAGAGGCAGGCGGAAUUCGUGGUGUAGCGGUGAAAUGCUUAGAUAUCACGAAGAACUCCGAUUGCGAAGGCAGCUUGCUGGACUGUAACUGACGCUGAUGCUCGAAAGUGUGGGUAUCAAACAGGAUUAGAUACCCUGGUAGUCCACACCAUAAACGA
rnacentral:rRNA from 1 species